AAUAUUUAUUAUAUAUUUCGCUGUUUUUCGUGUGUAUUUACGCUGUGAUGUCAGUUAAUACAGCUUCCAUACUCUUGUUUCAAAACGACGCAUGUACAUGCUCAACGAACAACCUUCUUCAGUUGAUAAGCAUUAACGUUAAUGGAACGACUGGAAUGGAAACAUUACCAGGGCUCCAUUUGCCACACUUGCAUUGGUAUGUGUGAGAAAGUUUGCUCUAGUGCGACGUUAUUUUCGAAAACAAUUGCGUGGAACGUUGAAAUAUCAGCGUUUGCCUUCGCAUUGCACGCCUGUACGUUUACGUUUACAAUUAAAUGUAUACGGAAAUUCCACUUUGAGAAUGAAACGUUGAUUUUGAAUGCCAUAUGCUAGCGUCUUAUUUCUUUUCAAUGCUUUAAAACUACCCCUAUGCUAAAAAUGUGUGUGCAUACAUACAAACGUAUGUGUACAUACAUACAUACUCAUACAGUGAAUGCCGAAAGACGCUUACUGUAUCAGCUAGAGCGAUCUUCACGUAUUGAGCACACACAUUUGUAUGUAUCUAGACAGUAAAUCAGUACACCUUUCAUUUGCAUGCCAUGAUUCACUUUCACUAAAGAUGAUAUAUAUUAACGAAAUCAUGUUAUGAUCUCCUAUCGAUAUGAAUUAAUACAUAUCGAUGUUAUAGUGUACAUGCCUAUGCAUGUGACAGUGAUAUGCUUGUAUGUAUGUAUGUAUGUAUACUUGCAGAAAUGGCUGCAACAAUUAUUCGAUGUGCGCGGCGCAGUUUAUGAUUUCGGUGAGCAGCUGCAACUCGAAAAUAAAGAUCAUUGGCCUACACAGGAAUUAUGCCAGAGCACAGCAGAUCGCACACAUGCACAUGUAGAUUUCCAUUUCCCGGACUCCGCGUCUGCAUCAUCAACCCCUAAAUUGUGAGGGAUGGCUGUACGUCGUCCAAGGAUGUUGCAGCUGUUGCAAGGUGAUUUCCAAGUAUACAUACAUACAUAUGUACAAACAUUCGUACAAACAUGCAACCGAAGAACAUUCAUCUGUCGAUACGAGCACGAGGUGCGCCCUAAAAGUUUGCACAUUUGCGUCUCUUGUCACAUCGGGAUCUAUCGUCGACUAGGGGAUACUCUGAUUAAACAUACAUAAAUUACUUUUAUUUGUGUUCUUCUGACAUACAUACAUAUUAGUUUCAACGAGCGAUAAAUAUUUGUAAUUAUAUUUCAAUACUUUGAUCGAUGUCAAUUGAAUAAUAGCCAAGGAUGUUUCGUCACAGACCGUUGUGCUUUGCUAAAUACAGAUGAUAUAAUAAUGUCCCCAGCAA